CGGGUGCACCAGGCGCGAAAACUUUACAAUGCGGGAAACCGUGAUAAGGGGACACCGAGUGCCAGCAUCAUAUGCUGGCUGUCCAGGUGUGUAAAAUACACCUGUUAGCAAGGGCCGGGCAAGACCGGUGCCAGCCGCCGCGGUAACACCGGCGGCCCGAGUGGUGAUCGUGAUUAUUGGGUCUAAAGGGUCCGUAGCCGGUUUGGUCAGUCCUCCGGGAAAUCUGACGGCUCAACCGUUAGGCUUUCGGGGGAUACUGCCAGGCUUGGAACCGGGAGAGGUAAGAGGUACUACAGGGGUAGGAGUGAAAUCUUGUAAUCCCUGUGAGACCACCUGUGGCGAAGGCGUCUUACCAGAACGGGUUCGACGGUGAGGGACGAAAGCUGGGGGCACGAACCGGAUUAGAUACCCGGGUAGUCCCAGCCGUAAACGAUGCUCGCUAGGUGUCAGGCAUGGCGCGACCGUGUCUGGUGCCGCAGGGAAGCCGUGAAGCGAGCCACCUGGGAAGUACGGCCGCAAGGCUGAAACUUAAAGGAAUUGGCGGGGGAGCACAAG
rnacentral:rRNA from 1 species